rnacentral:lncRNA from 1 species
GGUUUCUGCUGCUCAAUCUGGAGGUCAACAUUUCAUGUACCACAUGACACCAGUACUGUGUGUGUCCACUUCAGUAAAUGUCACAAUGACACUGCACAGCUGAUAGUUACAUUUUAUUAUUGUAAGUAUUUCAUUACCUGAAAAGGAUCACUGAUGUUCAUGUGAACAUGUAGCACCUAUUUUCCCAACCAGCUACGUUUGUGGUAGGUGGUGUUUAUGAAGCAGCCACAAAAGGGCUAGAAAAUUCUAAUAUUUUCAAAAAUAAUGUAAUCAUUAGUAUUUUGUGUAAUUUUGUGCCUUGCAGGUUGUAGAUAUCGGCUCUUCUUUGUCCUCAUAUACUCACUUCUAUUCAUGCUAUAGGAACAAGAAUGUCCAGGACCUGUGAAAUCUGUUUGUUUACAAUUUUGAUAAUAGAAUAAAUGAGAAUCAGGAGCCUGAUGUGUUGGUUGAUGUUGAUAUAGAUGAGGGAGAGAUUGAUGAUCACCAGGACCCACAAAUGAUCUGUCAGAUCUUGUCCGAAGCUGACCUGGACAUUAAUGAUACAACUAGUUGCUGAGCCCACAAACAGCGGCAGAAGUACUACAGCAUACAAACAGUAUGAACACCACGGCAGGCCCGCACACACAAGACAAGGGUGGUCCUCUCUACAGGCUGGCUAGCGUCCCUAAAAUUCCUACUUUUUCCUAUUUUUUUUCAAUUUGGCUAAAAUUCCUAUUUUUUUUUAAAAAUCAAAAGAAAAUUCCUAAAAAGGCCCUAUUUUUUCACAAAGAUUCCUACUUUUUUAACUUUUUUGCAAUGAUCAAAAAGAGAAAAUGUUUUAAAUGUUGUUUAAAAGUUCUUCUAAUUCAGAAAAAAACAGUUUAGCACAGUUCAAAGCAGUUUACCAGUGGAUCCAUGUGUUCAAACAGUGGAAAGCUGGUAGACGUCUUUUCUGUAAAUAAAGCACUAUUUGUGAGUUACUUUUAUGUCAAUCACAUAAAGGUAAGCACAUUACAUGGUCUUUAAAGUCCAUAUUUUAAUUUGAAAAUUCCUAAAUUUAGCCCUAAAAUUUCUAAAAUUGUACCAAAUUCCUAAUUUUAGCCCUAUUUUUUUGUACAAAUUGCCCUAAAAUUAGCCCUAAUUUUUUGUCAGGGUAUGCUAGACAGCCUGUCUCUAACAAUGAUCUGAGAAUCACCUCAAGACAGGAGGAUAUCUUUGAGGAGUUGUUACAGCGACAGUUGGAUGCAGUCCAGAGAUCUAGACAGUUGUAUGCAGUCAGAUUUUGACAGUUGUAUACAGUCAGAUCUCGACAGUUGUAUGCAGUCAGAUCUCAACAGUUGUAUGCAGUCAGGAGAUCUAGACAGUUGUUUGCAGUCAUAUCUUGACAGUUGUAUGCAGUCCGGAGAUCUCGACAGUUUAUAUGCAGUCAGGAGAUCUCGACAGUUGUAUGCAGCCCUGGGAUCACAGCAGUAGUAUGCAGUCCGGGGAUCUUGACAGCUGUAUGCAGUCCGGAGAUAUUGACAGUUGUAUGCAGUCAGGAGAUCUCAGUUCUUUCUGGCAUUCUCAAGAUUCAGUCUCAAAUAGAAAUAACUUGGACUGCUUAAAAGCUUCUCUAUAACUUGCAGAUGUGCAGCCUGCGACAUUCUUAUGUAGAAGACAUGUGUGUGAAAUACAAUGAACAUGAACUGCCACUGUUCAAAUUUGAAAUGUUUCAAGAAAUGUUUUUAUCACAGUGAGACUGAAAAUAAGAAAUCAUAAGGAAGUAAGCUAUGGACAUUUGAACAAAGACCAGUGACUUUUUGGUUUGGCACAGUCAAAAAUAAUGAUGGACCACAAACUGGACACCCGGAAAACUGGAAUAAUGUUGUUUGAAUAAAUGUUGUUUUUUUUAUUUGUAAAAAAAUACCUUGCAUGUCCUGUCUUAAAAAUUUUGGUAGUUGUUUUUACCAAAGGCCCUUUAAUUGACUUGGGUAUUACUUAAAUUUCAUAUUGUUUGAUUGCUUUACAUAAAUUUUAAACUGAUCAAUGUAUUGUGAAAAUGAUGCACUUGGGCUUACUGUAGGGAAUUUACCUUUGUCAGUCUUCGAAUUUUUGUAUGUCAGUCUUUGAAUUUUGUUUGUGUCAGUCUUUGAAUUUUUGUAAUGUUGCACAUGUUUUGCAGUUCUCAUGAGAUGUAGUUAACAACUGACAGUCGUUAUAUGUAUAGAGGCUUGUUUUGUGUCGAAAUAUAAUCUAAUUAUAUUCUAUCUUCAGUACAUAUUUUGAGUUAAUAUGAAUAGAACUGUAUAGACAGCAAAAAGUAUUGAUUGGCAUCUUUGAUUUUUUUGAGUCUGCUUUGAAAAAUCACAAUACCUCAUCAUUCCUAACAGUCUGAUGUAACAUCAUAGUUUUUAAAGAAUUCACUGUGUAAAGAAAUUUAGAUUUUGACAUAAGAUCAAACAUUUGCGAAAGUACCGAUAUUGUGUCAUGUAUUGAGCUAUAUAUAUAUAUGUAUUAUACUGGAUCAACCAUUCAUGUACAAUCAGAAUAACUAUUUAAAGAGCUCACAUGGAUGAAAUUCCAUGACCGAAUUGACUACAAAAAAGCAAUUUUGGUAAAUCUUUAAAUGGGUUGAACCCUGAUUAUCUUAAAGUUUAAAUACUCUCAAAAUCAGUUGUUAAGAUCUUUUUACAUUGUUGUUGUUUGUUCAAUAUGUUUAUAAAUGAAAAAGUAUAAAUGUCUAAACAAAUGUAAA